rnacentral:lncRNA from 1 species
GGAGUAGGCUUAGUGAUCAAAGCUGAGAGUAACCCAUUCCCUAUAUAUAGAGUCUAGCCACCACAGGUUCAAAAAUAAUGGGCUGGGCUUUACCUUCAAACAAUAUAAUAACUGCUCCAUAAUCUCUAUGCAGUUAAAAAGGAUAAAAAUAAUAGCUUAAUGGACCACUUUAUGUUCCUUAAAAUGAUAUAAUAUUUAUUCUAUAAUUAAAAUAAUUCUAACAUUCUCCCACUUGGUCCAUUAAUCCAAUUAUUAACCACCAUAAGUGACAAAAUAUAUACGAG